AUUUUCUGGGCUUGAUGAAUCUCAUCUGCAAGAAGAUGAAUCCACUGUGGUUCUUCCUCUUUCUGGUGUCAGCUCCCAGAGGUGUCCUGACCCAGGGGCAGCUGCAGGAGUCGGGACCCAGCCUGGUGAAGCCCUCCCAGACCCUCUCCCUCACCUGCACUGUCUCCGGAUUCUCAUUAACCAGUUAUGGUGUAGGCUGGGUCCGACAGGCUCCAGGAAAGGGGCUGGAGUAUGUUGGUGUGAUGGAUAAUAGUGGAAGUGCAUAUUAUAACCCAACUCUUAACUCCCGGCUCAGCACCACCAGGGACACCUCCAAGAGCCAAGUCUAUUUAUCACUGAGCAGCCUGACAACUGAAGACACCGCCGUGUAUUACUGUGCGAAAGACACAGUGAGGGGAAGUCUGUGUGAGGCCAGACAAAAACCUCCCUGCACGGAGGCCCGUAACCACCAGGGGGCGCUCAGGACCCAACAAGUACAGGGCUGA